CCCCAGUCAAAAAUUUCCCCGUACGCCUAUGUGGACGACUGCACCAACGAGUGUGGACGACUUCACCAGAUUUUUCGUGUGGACGACUUUGCUCGUGGACGACUUAACUGAUAUUCCUCUUGCCAUGCCUUCGAACCUGCACCUGCUUCUUUUUUUUCUUUUGAACAUACAAUUAUUUCGGUGGGUGCAUGGGUAUUUUGUUUAUACGACACAGUAUGAAAGUGCCAUUUAACGAAAACGAAAGAUGAUUAAGAUGCCAAGUUAUGGCAACUUAAAAGUAAAUAGCACGAUCUGCUUAGUCACAUAAUAGAGUAAUUAAUUUAGAAGCUUCACACAGAACGAUAAUUUGCCUUACACCAGAGAAUUUAGUAAGGCAGAGUAGGGUGAAGCUUGGUGAUUUUAUUUAUAUUUUCUUUUCUUUUCUUUUUGUAUAGAAUUGGUAUAUCAGAUGGUUGGAGAUGUUGUUGAUAUAGGGAUGCAUUCUGUUGGACCAUAUGAUCCAGAGAUAGUGUUGGACAUUUAUAUAAAUUAUGCCAAACUUUUUCAAAAUUUAUAUGAGGAAAUGAGUCAUGGGAUGGUUUACGAACACCAACAUGGUGGAUUUCGGUUUUAUCUUAAUUUAGUUGAGAGCUAUAUACGGAGCCAACAUUUAUACGUAAGGAAUAAAGAAUCGUGGACAACCUUGACGGAUCGAACGAUUAUUUUUGAUAUUUUGAGAGAAAUAUCCAUUUACUUGAACUUUACUUUUCAAAUUUUUAAACAGUAUUGUAACCCAAUUUACAAUGUCAUUUGGAAAAUUCAUAUGUUUUAGUAGGGUUUUUAUAUAAUUGUGUUCAAUACGGUCAAAGGCUUUUUUCCUAAUCAAACGAUAAGAUAUAGGCAUUAGUUUCAUGUGUGUCUAAAUAAUUUAGGAUUGAAUCAAUUAAAUACAGGUUAUCGAAGGUGCUUUUAUUUGGUCCGGCUCCCGUUUGUGUUUUAGAGAUCAAUUUGUUAAUAACUGUGUUCAUUCAUAUACUUAAUAUUUUUGUGAUGAUUUUAUAGUCGACACAUAACAGGGUUAUUUGUUCUUAAGUAAUCGGUGGUCGCCUUUAUUCUUAUAGACAAACAAUUUAUUCUUAUAAUUAAUUAUUAUUAUACCGGUUCUCAUUGGGUUAGAUAAUUCACCCUGUAGAUAGAUGUUGUUUAUUACUUCUGUCAGGUCGGUUCCUAUUGUGUCAAAGAAUUUGAUAUAGAAAUCUCCUGGAAUACCGUCGAUGCCUGGGCUACGGUUUGAUCUGAAACUUUGUAACGCCUUCAGAUCUUCAUCUUUAGAUAUGAAAUGAGACAGGGAAUCUCUUUCCGUGUUAGUUAGGGUAUUUAUGUUACUGUUUUCAAUAUAGGAGUUUAUUAGGUUUUCGACAAUGUUUUGGGUAGUAUAUAGUUGUUGGUAAUAUUGGUGAAUUGUGUCUAGAAUAUCUUGUUCAUUAUCAAAUACUGUAUUAUUUUGAUUGAUUAAUUGUUUAAUUUGCUUUUUAGCACUGUUUUUGACCUCAGCUAAUUUAUAUAUUUUAGAAUAUCGUAACCUUGUAUUGUAUUUUGUUCUAUUAUUUCGAUUUUUGUUUGAAUUUCAUGCAUUGAGUUAGUAUUCAUAGGUAGUAUGGAAGUAGAUCAACUUAUAGUGUGAUAUAUAUUGAGACUAUAUUUAUGUUAUAUAUAUGAAUGCAUAUCUAGCACUAUGCAUAUCUAGCGGUGUAUUAUGAAUGUAUGUUAUAUUAAAGGACGACGGAUAUUGUUAGUGUUGGUGACACGGGCUACUCCUAGAUCUAUCUUUAUAAUAGUAUUAACAUGUCACGUUUAGAUUAUAUUUAGAGAGAAAGAUAGAUAGAUAUGGGGUUAAGUGGAGGGAAACCGCAGUUCAGGACCCGGAAAAACCCACGAGAUUCGUUGACACGUAUAUGUGGGGAACCUACUCCAUGCAGAUUGACUCUAUGUAUAUGAUAGACCAGGAAAAAACCCACGAGGGUGGACAGGCUACCCUAUUCUGUGUCACGUACAUGCGGGGAACCGAGUCCACGCCAAUUGACUCUAUAUGAUAGACGUUACUCACUGAGCCAUCGCGACUCCCUUGAUAAUAUAAUACUUGACAUAAUACCAAGGUUAAUUUACGUCGGCUUCCAUUGAGUUGAUACCGUAGACAAUAAAUCAAUGUCUAAGUAUUCUGAUAAUAACAUAUUGAUGUCAGGGAAUUAAGUUCGAUUCUCGAGAAGAACCUUGAGGUUUGUCAAGCCUGAGUUUCACCUGUCAGGGGUAUAACGUCUAUUGGGCUGACUAGUCCUUCGGAUGGUUCCUACGUGUAUACAUUGGCGUGCACGUAAAAUACAUUCGAUGAAACGCCGCUGUCAGGGCAAAAUUCUUCUCAUUAGCAUAACAUCCCUUAAUAACAGAAUAAAAAGCCGGUAGUAUUGUGUUGUGUUAACGAAAUGUUAAAUUACAUUCCUAUUUUAUUUUGUGGUUAUAUGACUAAAACGUCAGUUAUAUCAAGAUAAGCCAGAAUAUUUUAAAGAUACUUCACCGAAAACAAACCGUUCGAUCAAGAAAUAACAACCUCUCCCUCAGUUAAACUAGCAUACAAUAAGCCGUCGGGUUGGCUGUUAGUGAUACCCUGACAUUUUUGCUCAGUUCCUGUUUUUCGCGUAAUCCAGUAUUUUUCUAGUAAGAUUGGGCGUCUAAACUUUUCAUAUAUAUCAUGUCAUACUGUUACUGGAAAUAACCACCUGAUAAAUAUAUUUGUGACAAUGUAUCUUUAAUAUCCUUAUGGUUGAAGCGGAUAUUUAGUUGAGAGAUUAAUUCUCCAAAUAUUGCGGGAGGUUGCGUGACCGAAAGGUUAACGCAUGCGCGUUGGAUCAUAAGGUCUGCAAUGAGUCAAGUGGUGUGGUUUCGAUUCCCCGCUUGUACGGGACAAGAAGUAGGGCCCAUCCUCUUAAUUUUGCUCCCACUUCUAAAGACCCAUACGCAUAAGCGAAUCAUUUACAUAAAAUUGAAAAAUAUGUUAAUAACGAAACUCUCUCUCUCUCUCUCUCUCUCUCUCUCUUAU